rnacentral:rRNA from 1 species
UACGGAGGAUGCAAGCGUUAUCCGGAAUGAUUGGGCGUAAAGCGUCCGCAGGUGGCUAUGUAAGUCUGCUGUUAAAGAGUGAGGCUCAACCUCAUAAGAGCAGUGGAAACUACAUGGCUAGAGUGCGUUCGGGGCAGAGGGAAUUCCUGGUGUAGCAGUGAAAUGCGUAGAGAUCAGGAAGAACACCGGUGGCGAAAGCGCUCUGCUAGGCCGCAACUGACACUGAGGGACGAAAGCUAGGGGGAGCGAAUGGG